rnacentral:tRNA from 1 species
GUCCGGGUAGCCAAGCGUUUAAGGCAUCGGUCUGCAACACCGACAAUCGUGGGUUAGAAUCCCACCCCGGACUCCA